rnacentral:rRNA from 1 species
UACGAAGGGGGCUAGCGUUGCUCGGAAUCACUGGGCGUAAAGGGCGCGUAGGCGGCCGUUCAAGUCAGGGGUGAAAGCCUGUGGCUCAACCACAGAAUUGCCUUUGAUACUGUUCGGCUAGAGACCGGAAGAGGUGAGUGGAACUGCGAGUGUAGAGGUGAAAUUCGUAGAUAUUCGCAAGAACACCAGUGGCGAAGGCGGUUGCCUGGAGCUUUGCUGACGCUGAGGCGCGAAAGCGUGGGGAGCGAUCCGG